rnacentral:rRNA from 1 species
CCUACGGGAGGCAGCAGUGGGGAAUAUUGGACAAUGGGCGCAAGCCUGAUCCAGCAAUGCCGCGUGUGUGAAGAAGGUCUUCGGAUUGUAAAGCACUUUCGACGGGGACGAUGAUGACGGUACCCGUAGAAGAAGCCCCGGCUAACUUCGUGCCAGCAGCCGCGGUAAUACGAAGGGGGCUAGCGUUGCUCGGAAUGACUGGGCGUAAAGGGCGCGUAGGCGGCACAGCAAGUCAGACGUGAAAUUCCCGGGCUUAACCUGGGGACUGCGUUUGAGACUGUUGGGCUAGAGGAUGGAAGAGGCUCGUGGAAUUCCCAGUGUAGAGGUGAAAUUCGUAGAUAUUGGGAAGAACACCGGUGGCGAAGGCGGCGAGCUGGUCCAUUACUGACGCUGAGGCGCGAUAGCGUGGGGAGCAAACAGGAUUAGAUACCCUGGUAGUCCACGCCGUAAACGAUGUGUGCUGGAUGUUGGGGUUCAUAGAACUUCAGUGUCGUAGCUAACGCGAUAAGCACACCGCCUGGGGAGUACGGCCGCAAGGUUGAAACUCAAAUGAAUUGACGG